AUUGAACGCUGGCGGCAGGCCUAACACAUGCAAGUCGAACGGUAGCACAAAGAGCUUGCUCUUGGGUGACGAGUGGCGGACGGGUGAGUAAUGUCUGGGAAACUGCCCGAUGGAGGGGGAUAACUACUGGAAACGGUAGCUAAUACCGCAUAACGUCGCAAGACCAACGUGGGGGACCUUCGGGCCUCACACCAUCGGAUGUGCCCAGAUGGGAUUAGCUAGUAGGUGGGGUAAUGGCUCACCUAGGCGACGAUCCCUAGCUGGUCUGAGAGGAUGACCAGCCACCCUGGAACUGAGACACGGUCCAGACUCCUACGGGAGGCAGCAGUGGGGAAUAUUGCACAAUGGGCGCAAGCCUGAUGCAGCCAUGCCGCGUGUAUGAAGAAGGCCGUCGGGUUGUAAAGUACUUUCAGCGGGGAGGAAGGCGGUGAGGUUAAUAACCUCGCCGAUUGACGUUACCCGCAGAAGAAGCACCGGCUAACUCCGUGCCAGCCGCCGCCGUAA
rnacentral:rRNA from 1 species